rnacentral:lncRNA from 1 species
GUGUGCGUUUAACUUUGACUGGACUUUGGACUUUUCUUAGGCAAUCACAUGCAGCUUGAGCUGUGAGAGAGUCUGGUUUUGUGGGCUAAGCCAACAGGGAAGCACUUGCCAUGGUCCCACUCCACAGACAGGAAUUCUUAGGCUCUAAGAGGUGCCUUGAGCCUGCACAGGCACAAGCAGGACCAGGGGCUUGAUCUCAGUGAUGUCACCAGGUGAAAGACUUCCUCGACUGCUUCCUGUCUUUCUAAAGUGCAUUUCCACUUAAAGGGAUUUCCAGCUCAAGUAGAUGCAAAGGAGUCAUUGUCUACUCUUCCUUGGAGAGUGAAGACGGAGAGAGCCAUGGACUCUAAUGACUACACACCCGACCAUCUCAGAAAGGCUCCUGUAAUUACUGACUUGAUGUUUAGUUCUUGCUUCAUUCCUGUACCGGUCUCAGGCCGUGAUUGGGUGAUUCCAUUGCUGUGUGCCUGCUUGAGUUGAGCACCACGGGAGGGGGCAUGCGCAAGACGCUAGAUUGAAGACGUUCACUUCGCAGUGGACCAGAAGCAAACACAAACAAAAAUCGGUACUGGGGUCCCACUUUUCAAUGCCAGUUGUGAAUCCAUCAGAGAGUUAAUUCAGUAAUCCGCUUUCACAACUCUGUAAGGUAGCCAUGUAUUCAACACAUGAACUUGAGGAAGACAUUUCAUACUUGGAUGGUAACAGUCACGAACAGUUCGAGAGCCUGUGGGGCAGUGUGUCCACAGAUGCCAUGGGAGCGCCACACCUCCCUCUGGUAACUGAACUUUAUUCAUCCUUCUAUUUGGCUGCUCCUGGGUUGUGUUCUUUA